UACGUAGGGGGCAAGCGUUGUCCGGAAUCAUUGGGCGUAAAGCGCGUGUAGGCGGCUCGAUAAGUCUGCUGUGAAAGUCCAAGGCUCAACCUUGGGAUGCCGGUGGAUACUGUCGAGCUCGAGUCCGGAAGAGGAGUGUGGAAUUCCUGGUGUAGCGGUGAAAUGCGCAGAUAUCAGGAGGAACACCAAUGGCGAAGGCAGCACUCUGGGACGUGACUGACGCUGAGCCGCGAAAGCGUGGGGAGCAAACAGG
rnacentral:rRNA from 1 species